GUGGGGAAUCUUCCGCAAUGGACGAAAGUCUGACGGAGCAACGCCGCGUGAGUGAUGAAGGUCUUCGGGUCGUAAACAGCUUUUGUAUACGAAGAAUAUGACGGUAAUAUACGAAUAAGGGUCGGCUAACUACGUGCCAGCAGCCGCGGUCAUACGUAGGACCCAAGCGUUAUCCGGAGUGACUGGGCGUAAAGAGUUGCGUAGGCGGCUUAUUAAGCGAGUAGUGAAAUCUGGUGGCUCAACCAUCAACACAUUGCUCGAACUGAUAGGCUUGAGAAUGGUAGAGGUAGUUGGAAUUUCUUGUGUAGGAGUGAAAUCCGUAGAUAUAAGAAGGAACACCAAUGGCGUAGGCAGACUACUGGACCAUUUCUGACGCUGAGGCACGAAAGCGUGGGGAGCGAACCGGAUUAGAAACCCUAGUAGUCC
rnacentral:rRNA from 1 species